rnacentral:rRNA from 1 species
UACGUAGGCGCAAGCGUUAUCCGGAAUUAUUUGGGCGUAAAGAGCUCGUAGGCGGUUUGUCGCGUCUGCCGUGAAAGUCCGGGGCUCAACUCCGGAUCUGCGGUGGGUACGGGCAGACUAGAGUGAUGUAGGGGAGACUGGAAUUCCUGGUGUAGCGGUGAAAUGCGCAGAUAUCAGGAGGAACACCGAUGCGAAGGCAGGUCUCUGGGCAUUAACUGACGCUGAGGAGCGAAAGCAUGGGGAGCGAACAGGAAUAGA